CAGAUAUGGAUAGAAGACUAACGCUGCAUGACUAUUGGCUGCGCAGCUGAAGUUCGCGUGCUGAUUGGCUGAUCAAUACUGUGAUAGCCCCAGACCAAAGUCAGAUGUUCCAGAAAUCUCCCUGAGAUUGAUCAUUGAGCUUUAUCUCCUGAGCAAUUCUUGAGCAUUGCAAGCACUACAGACUCUCCACUGCACAAUAUCCGACCAUCUAUUCAGAGCACGACCUGCAUUUUUAUAUUGCAGCUGAACGCCUGGUUUUGGAUUUUCUCCAAGCAGCAGUUCUUCUGUAUUGCUCUUCCCUCCCACCCUUCCCAACCCUUCACCCCUAUACCCCGCACCCCCCCCCCCCCAAAAAAAAAAAAAAAAAAAAAAAAUUUUAAGUUGAUCAUUUGUGUUCAAAUACUACUGUUCUUUAACAACGUCAGUUCUUUUAAUACUAGGUUAAUAACUUGUUUAUUCUGCUAUUGUUCCUUUAUUUGAAAAAGAAGUGUGUUCCUAUUAAUACUAGAUUCAUAAUUUCUUUUAUUUGCUACUGCUCUUUUUGUAUAAAAAAAAAGUUUAUUAGCUGUAUAUAAGUCGUUCAUUUUCUUGUAAAUUAACUAACUUGUUUUUUUCUUGAGAAUACUUUGCAGGUUGUAUCGCUUCAGCAUUUUGUGAAGAUGCCUCGGAAAGGUAGGAGAUCCCAGGCUCAGAAAGUUCGUUGGACAAAGUUAGACCUGACAGGACAGACGAGCAUCAGUAAAGGUGUUACUCCGGUUUCUGAUGGACCGCAGUAUGAAGGUGGCGACAACACAUCUAGAGUUAUAUCCGUGCAGGCGUCUCAUUGUCAGAGUGAUGUAAGGUAUGAUGUUUUCUCACGAAAUCAUCAGUGCACAUGUGUAGCUCUGACAUUCCUUGCGUAUCACAGUGAGGGAACUUCAUUCGAACAGCGUGAUCUUGACAGGGUGCUAGAGGAAGGGGAUGCAUUGUAUGUGGGCAUUAAAAUGCAGCUUAUUGCUGAAGGAAGAUUCCGACAGGAUCUUCUAAGCAUGGCUGAAGUACCUGUGAGCAUCUCAACUUCUAACCACAACUACAGCGUCCAGAAGUCAGAAGUUGUGAUGGGGUAUCUGAGAGA